rnacentral:rRNA from 1 species
UACGUAGGGUGCAAGCGUUGUCCGGAAUUAUUGGGCGUAAAGAGCUCGUAGGCGGUUUGUCGCGUCUGCUGUGAAAACUCGGGGCUUAACUCCGGGCCUGCAGUGGGUACGGGCAGACUAGAGUGCGGUAGGGGAGACUGGAAUUCCUGGUGUAGCGGUGAAAUGCGCAGAUAUCAGGAGGAACACCCGUGGCUAAGGCGGCUCUCUAGUACGGUACUGACGCUGAGACGCGAAAGCGUGGGGAGCGAACAGG